UUGAUAAACGUAGAGAAUGAAGUCCUGUUUCCAUUCGAACAGCAGAUAGCCUGCACAGUACAAGUUCUCCCGCUUCCACCUCGAUCCUGCUCUGACGUCAUGUCUAGGACUGAGAAAGUUGCUUAGUCUCCACGUCCAUUCAAUCAUACUAUUCU
ensembl:misc_RNA